GUGCAGUUUCCACGAAUUCGGUACGCCAUUUGGAGCCGGUAUCGACGGACAACAGCUAAUAUAUGCAAAUUUGAGUAAUAAAAAGCUGUUCGACGUUGAUAAAGAUCAAUCGAAAAUUACUUGAUAAAUAUCGAUUAGUUUUUCAUUUCACUGAAAAUUUGAUCGUCGAUUUAAUCUCACCAGAGUAAAAAGUGUUGAUUUUCUUCAAUUCACGAUCGCAGAAGGUGAAAAAGACUUCGUCGAAAGAGGCAAAAUGGCGUGAUAUGGUUUCCUGCUCGACGAUCUCAACGGACGGAGCCUCUUCUACCGCCGUAUACAACAUGGCUUUCAUUUCCUACAAAAUAUUGGUAGGAAAACAUCAGUAAUAUGUGACGUUACGAAUAAAUAUAGUAAAAAUUAUAGAAUUUUCAUGAAUUUUACCUCAUAACUAAUGUAUUGUUUACGCCAUUCAGGCGUAAUGUGCGCGGAAAGAUGCUCCGCGAACUUCAUAUUUGAUUUAGAAUAAUUUCAAACUCUAGUCAGCCAUACACUGAAACAAAACAAACAUAAACAAAUUAAAAUCUGUAGACUUCCGAUUACUGUAUUUUAUAAAUGCUAUGAUUAAGGCAGUACAGAUUUACUAAUGGUGAGAAAAAAAAAAAAAAAAAAAAACCAUUUCGCAAUAAUAAACGUACAUACAUACAGAAGCGUGUCAACAGGCGCUUCCUUAGCUAUAACGAUAACGAUGAAGUAUACUUACGGAAUUCAAUGUAGUUGUCAACAUUUAUCAGGAUUAUCUAUCUCAGUGCAUACAACAAAGUGAACACAAGAUAGCGGCGAAUCAAACCAACAAUUAAAUUUAAACUGCGAGAGAUUAAAACAAGCGUGCAUAAUU